rnacentral:rRNA from 1 species
CCUACGGGAGGCUGCAGUGAGGAAUAUUGGUCAAUGGCCGGAAGGCUGAACCAGCCAAGUCGCGUGAAGGAUGAAGGUGCUAUGGAUUGUAAACCUCUUUUGUCAGGGAACAAAAUCCGGCACGUGAGCCUUUCCGAGGGUACUCGAAGAAAAAGCAUCGGCUAACUCCGUGCCAGCAGCCGCGGUAAUACGGAGGAUGCGAGCGUUAUCCGGAUUUAUUGGGUUUAAAGGGUGCGUAGGCGGACUGUUAAGUCAGCGGUAAAAGCGCGGGGCUCAACCCCGUCGAGCCGUUGAAACUGGGUGUCUUGAGAGGGCGAGAGGUAUGCGGAAUGCGCGGUGUAGCGGUGAAAUGCUUAGAUAUUGCGCAGAACUCCGAUUGCGAAGGCAGCGUACCGGCGGCGAUCUGACGCUGAAGCACGAAGGCGUGGGUAUCGAACAGGAUUAGAUACCCGUGUAGUC